UCUGUGCCAGUCUUCCUCUAUUUUGUAUGUGGGCCGCCACCACAGCAUGGUGGCUGACAAGUGGUGUAGGUCCUUGCCCAGGAACUGAACCUGGGCUGUUGAAGAGGAGCACACUGAACGGAACCACUAGGCCAUGGGGCCGGCUUCCCCAAAACACCAUUUAUUGAAGAGACUGUACUUUCUCAAUUGUCUUCUUGACACCCUUCUGGAAGAUUAUUUCACCUAAAAUAAGUAAGAUAAUUAUUUUGAAUAAUUUGUCCGGCAACAUAUAGAUCACUUUUUAAAGUCAGUUAAUGGAGAUUUAUCUUUUUCCUUUUGUAGUGUUCUAUUUCCCUGAUUCUCCAUGUUUCUUGUAGCUUUUCUUUGGUGUCUGCCCACUGGGAGAAGCAGCAACCUCUUUCAGUCUUUAUGGUCUGGUUCUAGCAGGAAAUGACCACAAAUAAGUCCUAUUAGAACUUUGGGGAGCCUCUCCAGCAUUUUCUGUGGAUACGCAAGCUCUACUCCUCUCCCUCCAUCCUGGGGGAGCAGUCUCAGGGCUUUGCCAGCACUGGGAGCCCCUUUCCUCUGUCCUUGGCUGCCCCCAGGUGCCCCUCUCACCUUGUGCUCUGAGAGAGGUGAGACAUCAAUCGGUCUCUGGGGCAGCGCCCUCAGAUGCAGCUUCACUCACUCUUUUCUCUGAGGGAGAAAUCCCGGAGUGACCUGGUCUCUCAGUGGCUUGGGGCAGGAGCGACACGGGAAAAGUGAAACUGAUCUUUUUAUCCAGUUCUAACUUUUUUUUUUUUUUUUUUGGUUUUAUGCUCUUCUGAGUUGUUGCAACUUACUACCUGGAUUCCAAAAUUCUCAUAAAGGUAUUUUUGCCCAAAUAUCAUUGUUUCAUCAAUGUUUCUGUGGAGGGACGAGGCCUGGGACUUCCUAUUCUGCCAUCCUGCUGACGUCACUGGAAUAGAAUAGGGUUUAAAGUUGCUAGAAUGGAUCACAAUGAGACCAGAAGUGGAAAAAUAGAAAAUAUAAUGAAUAUACAGAGGAAAUAGAAUGAGAAGAGUUAAACAGAUUUCUAUCACAGUUUCAGGAUGAAAGAAGUGAGAAUGGUUUUAGACAAACUUGAAGAGAGAGUGGUUGAAAUUUUUACAGAAAUGAAGAAAGAACAUGGCUUUAAAGUUCAUGAAUUUAAAAAUGAAAAUCUUAUCUUGGCCCUGGUAAAGAACAUUGAGAAUAAGUUAAAAAAUAGUUCUAAAGCGAAUAGAGAAAAUGCAAGUGACCUUCAAGUGAAUGACAAGUUCAUUGCAAUUGGAUUUCUAAAGAGCAAAAACAGGUGACAGAAAAUACUGGAGAAAUACCUUCCAGGCAUUAAUUGUGAGUACAGAGUUGUAUACUGAGCCUAGAUAUUAUUAAGGAGCAAAGCUGAACUGUCAGCAGUGGGCAAAUCCUUAAAGACAAAGAGACUGGAGGAAUAUCUGACAUAUUGGGACUCGUGUCCUAUACCUUAAACCCACGACAUCCGGCUGCAUCUCUGUGAGGGAUAAGGAGGGCGUUGGUGGACAUAUCCCUUAAAUACAAGAUGUCUUUCACUCUGACGAGGUGAGUCUUCUCCUUUACCAAGUACUGUGAUACAUAGAGAGAAUAUUAAUAUGAAUCAGGCAUUUAGACAUAGAAGCAUGAAGAUAUUUUUGUGUCCACACCCUCUCUAAGAGCAGUACUAAAUGAUAUAAAUAAGUGAGAGUAAUGAACCAAAAUGGAGAAAAUGGGAUGGUACUGAGAACAAAAGAAAUCAGUAGUACAUAGAAGUAUUAAUAAGCAUUUGAUAUGUGCAUAUAUCUAUGCGUGUAGGCAAGUGUAUAUAAUUCUGCCAAUAAUCUGAAUGAGCAAGGAAAUGGAUUCUCCUCUCUAGAGCCUCCAUAAAGGGACUCAGCCAUGUCAGCACAUUGAUUUUAGCCUGGUGAGACCCGUUCGGAAUUCUGACUACAGAUCUGUAAGAUGAUAAAUUGUGUUAAGCUGCUAAAUUUGUAGUAAUUUGUUAUGGCAGCAAUAGGAAAUUAAUACAAACAUAAAAAUACUUUUAAAAGACCAACAAUUGAUAUUUUAUAUUUUUAAAUCAACUAUCUACUAUGAAGACAUAAUUAUGAAGUUUCACUCAACCAAUCACAUAUCCUUGAAAUAUGUAAAACAUAAGUUGAUACAUAAUGGAGGAUUUGAACAAACAUUUAUCAGAAUAAUAUAUAAUAUCUGAUGGGUUAAGCAGGCAAAAAAUUUACGUGAGCAUUGAAUCACAAAUGAAUGUGCAAUCUGAUGUGCACACAGUAUGCAUAAUUUUAUAGAAAUAUUUUCGUGACAUACAUAUUACAACAAAGUGGGAAUGCUCAUUUUUAAAGCACAUAUUGAACAGAAAAUAUUGAUUUCUUACUAGACAACAAAGUAAGUAUCUAUGUUUCUCCAAACUGUUACCAUACAUAUCAUGUUUCCUGAUUAGAGUGGAAUUAAAUAAGCAUCGACAAUAAGAAAACAUUAAGAAGAAACCCCAAUACUUUGGAAACAAAAUCUCAAUAUUUAUGGAUUAUAGAAUGACACAAAGUUGAAUUUACCAAAUAUUAGUGAAAAAGGGUAAAUGAAAUUACAACAUAUCAAAGCUUGUAGGAUGUAAAGAAAAACAGCAAGAGAGGAAGAAAGAGAGGACGUAAAUUACCAAUAUCAAGAAUAAGAGGAGCAUCACUACCAGUCCUACAGACAUUAAAAGGGUACUAAAGAAAUACUACAAACAAAUUUAUGCCAAGAAAUUUUGCAACUUAGAUAAUGAGGAUGCUGAAGGUGGCUCAGCUGAGAAAUACAAAAACUGUUCAGGAAUCUCUUUCCUAAUGAAUCUACGUCUGAGUAUGUCAUGAAGCCAUCCACUUAACUCCUUUCCCAGCAUCUUCAUGGUUAGGUUGCCAUGACUUUUCUCUACAGGGACUGUCAUCACCUCCCACCAGGCUCAUGGCUUCCACUCAUUUCCUUUAAAUAAAUUAUGUUCACUCCUGCCAAUCAGUUCCUUCGAAAAUAUCAUGCACUUAAAGCCACUUUUCCAAUAUACAUAUUUUAAUGGCUUCCCAUUUAAAACAGAAUAAUAUCUAAGCUCCUCGUCCUUGCUUAUCCACCUUUACCUAAUUUGGCUCCAGUCUACCUCCCUCAACUCCAUCUCACUCAACACAUGUCAGGCUCACCGGUGGUUUGAACCCUCCAAGCUCAUUGCUUCAUUGGAUUCAUGGCACUCAUGGUUCCAUCUGUUGGGAAGAUCCUUAGACUAAGCGUCUCAGGAGUGACUUUCCUUGUUGUUAGAUCACAUCUGAAAUGUCACCCUCAGUAUGGUCUUGCCUACCACUCACUCUGUUAUCCACUUAAGCUUUCUCUAUCACAUGACCCUAUCUUAAUGUGUAUGAAUUAAUGAAUCUUAAUGAAUUUUCAUUCAUUUACUCAUACCUUUUCUCCUCCCUUCACACACAUCUGGAAUAUGAUCCUCAUGAAGGCAGGAUCUUUUUCCUUGUUAACUUUUGGAUAUCCAGCUAAUAGAGUAUUAACAGAUGGACAGUACAUAUUUAAAGUGUUCCCCUAAAUCCUUAUCAUUCAUCAUCCUCAUCUUCACAGACCCUGAUGGAGGGAGGAUAAGCAUCUCUCUUGAGCGUGGGGUCAGGGUCCCUAUGAUCCCUUCAUUUCUAUUGGUAAAGGCCUCAGUUCCAGAACAUGAGACCCUAUAUGCCUCUUCUGAUUCCCAUACUGACCACACUCUCAAAUGCUGAUGGAGAAUUUGGGGAUCAGAUGGGAAGCUGACUAACCCAAUGUCACAGAGCUGGUAGGUGGCAGAGUCAACACUCACACAGGAUCCCUCUGGGUCAUUUAUGGAUUAAAUUAAGAGACUUCCUUGCUCAUCUUUUGUGAUGCUUAUUUUUUGGGGUGAUGGGCAAGUAUUUGUAGGAAUUCCUAGGAAAAAGGACAGCAAAGGAUGAGCCAGUGUCCUUCCUCGCCCCCUGAAGUAGGACUGUUCCUUCUGGAAGGUUGGUCCUCUAUCCACCUCUCACUCUACCAUCCCCCUAAGGACUGAUGGGGGCCUUCUGGUCCAUCCACCUGAGUGCCUUGAGAAGAUGCUGCCUCCCUGAGAUGUGAUGGUGUAAAGAGGCAUUAGGAUAUGCCUGGUGAUGAAAGACAGCUAUGAAAAGAGACAGAUGUGGCACAAGGUCCAUGAAGACACUGCCUCCUGAACAGUCCCUUCUCAGACUCUGGGAGCUGGAAUACCCUUUAUCUCAGCAUCCUGGAUGGGCUGGAGAAUCUGAGUCAGUUCCUGGUUCUCCAUGUAACCAUCCCCAGAGACUCCAGAUUCUGAACACCACAGGCUCCUUCAGGAGAUUGGCUCAGCCCACAGAGGGUGUCCAUGGAGGAUCUCUAGGACAAAAUCAGAGGCUGGGUAUGCCAGAUAGCUCCACUUCUUGUGCUGCCAGGUGAUUCCUGUCCAGCCUUCCCAGGUCACCUGCAUCACCAACUCCUGUGCUCAACCCCUCCCACCUGGGACAAUCAUCUGUAUCCAACCAACACAGCCACCUGGGACUGGGGAAGGACUCAUCCAUAAAUGCCCAGAUCCUCUGGACCAGAGAGGAUCCCGGAAGGAAACCCCUUCAGAGAUGGCUUGUCCCAUAAGAAUCACACCCUCCUAGGAAUGAUGCCCUAUCUUGGACACUAGCCUUGACCAAUCAGCCUGGACUCAGACAGCAGAUGAACUCUGCUUCCCACAGGCUCUUAACUCGAGCCUUGGGCUGUGAAGAGCCCACAUCUUCAGGACAGGGUUUUCGAUCAUAAUUGUCUCCUCCCUUCCCGUCAGGAGUUACAGAGACACAGGAGGCUGACAAAUUUGGGGGACAUGGCACUACCUCUGUUGGACAGGGUGCAGGAGCUGAGCUAAAUUGGAAAAUAAACAGGAUGUGGUUGC